ACGCUGGCGGCGUGCCUAAUACAUGCAAGUAGAACGCUGAAGAGAGGAGCUUGCUCUUCUUGAAUGAGUUGCGAACGGGUGAGUAACGCGUAGGUAACCUGCCUUGUAGCGGGGGAUAACUAUUGGAAACGAUAGCUAAUACCGCGUAACAAUGGGUGACACAUGUCAUUUAUUUGAAAGGGGCAAUUGCUCCACUACAGGAUGGACCUGCGUUGUAUUAGCUAGUAGGUGAGGUAACGGCUCACCUAGGCGACGAUACAUAGCCGACCUGAGAGGGUGAUCGGCCACACUGGGACUGAGACACGGCCCAGACUCCUACGGGAGGCAGCAGUAGGGAAUCUUCGGCAAUGGGGGUAACCCUGACCGAGCAACGCCGCGUGAGUGAAGAAGGUUUUCGGAUCGUAAAGCUCUGUUGUAAGUCAAGAACGAGUGUGAGAGUGGAAAGUUCACACUGUGACGGUAGCUUACCAGAAAGGGACGGCUAACUACGUGCCAGCAGCCGCGGUAAUACGUAGGUCCCGAGCGUUGUCCGGAUUUAUUGGGCGUAAAGCGAGCGCAGGCGGUUUGAUAAGUCUGAAGUUAAAGGCUGUGGCUCAACCAUAGUUCGCUUUGGAAACUGUCAAACUUGAGUGCAGAAGGGGAGAGUGGAAUUCCAUGUGUAGCGGUGAAAUGCGUAGAUAUAUGGAGGAACACCGGUGGCGAAAGCGGCUCUCUGGUCUGUAACUGACGCUGAGGCUCGAAAGCGUGGGGAGCGAACAGGAUUAGAUACCCUGGUAGUCCACGCCGUAAACGAUGAGUGCUAGGUGUUGGAUCCUUUCCGGGAUUCAGUGCCGCAGCUAACGCAUUAAGCACUCCGCCUGGGGAGUACGACCGCAAGGUUGAAACUCAAAGGAAUUGACGGGGGCCCGCAC
rnacentral:rRNA from 1 species